CGGCAACAGCUCAAAUUUGAAAUCUGGCCUCGGCCCGAGUUGUAAUUUGAAGAGGAUGCUUUGGGGUCGUCUCCGGUCUAAGUUCCUUGGAACAGGACGUCGCAGAGGGUGAGAGUCCCGUACGCGGCUGGACGCCUUCCCUGUGU
rnacentral:rRNA from 1 species